UUCGUAGGGUGCGAGCGUUGUCCGGAAUUAUUGGGCGUAAAGAGCUCGUAGGCGGUGUGUCGCGUCGGCCGUGAAAACCUGCAGCUUAACUGUGGGCUUGCGGUCGAUACGGGCAUCACUGGAGUUCGGCAGGGGAGACUGGAAUUCCUGGUGUAGCGGUGGAAUGCGCAGAUAUCAGGAGGAACACCAAUAGCGAAGGCAGCUCGCUGGGACGGUACUGACGCUAAGGCGCGAAAGCGUGGGGAGCAAACAGG
rnacentral:rRNA from 1 species